GGAUUUGUCGUGAGAUGCCGACACAAUGUGGUCUCCGUUUGGGCUGAUGGUCAGACACCAAACCUCCCGAUGAUGGCCCUGUAAGGCAGAGAGAAGAACCAAAUGUCAAGCUGGAGGGGAAACAGAUCGACUACAAACCUCCACGUCACUUCUUAACGUCACACCCGAGUAAACAGCUGAUGUCUUAAAUGUCAGAGAUUUCAUUUUUACGUACGAUGAUGUGCUCCUUCAGCCUAUUAAUCCAGCUGUAUUUAACUUAUACUUUAUCAACAACUAUUGGAUGUACUGUCAGUCCUGAAUUUCAAUAUCUGAGGUAUGAAGACAGCCUGCUAGAAGACACUGUAAAUAUCAAAGCUAGGGAGCAAAGUGUCACCUCUAGAGUCUGGAUGAGUUGAAACUUGUCGGCGUCCCACUGCUUCAUCUUCUUGUCCUUCCCUGCUGUGAAGAACAGAUGAGUCUUGGGGACAAACUGGAGGAACAUGACGCUGUGGAGAAGAGAGGGAAGAGUCAGCCAAGUGAAAAAAUAUAAUAAAAUUCAGAGCUAAGGUAAGGAAAAAUUGAAAGAAAUAAAGAAGCGACGUCUGUAAUACAACUAUGUUGACUUAGCUGAAAAAUAACUAAGAUACAAUAAUUAAUGGAACAGAAGGUGUUGGGAAGUCCCAGUCGGAGUUGACAAGAGUCCAAAACAACUCACAACAAACUGGUCAUAGCUGGAACCCUAAAACAUUAUUUCACCACUUUAUAUUUGAUCGUAAAAAACUGUUUUCUGGUCCAAAGAACACAUGACACACAUGUUGGGUGUGUGUUCACAGGCGGUACCUGUCGUCAUGAGCAAACAUGGAGCGGUGACAGUCGCCGAAGUCCAAACCCCAGAUCUUCACAUUCCUGUCAGCGGAGCCCGUGGCUAUUAAUGUGCUGUCCUGGUUGACAGAAAAGGUGGAGACCAAUAUCAAAACCAAGAAACUAUUUACAAUCAUCCAUGGCUGCACAAAUUUGGAGAACGAUUCUUAAAGGGGACAUCGGUCGGGCAUCUGGAGUAACUCCUUUGGACUCAGCUUAUAACUCGCUAAAGCUUGAGAGUACUCACAUGUGAGAUGUCCAGACAGAGUACCGGCAGCUUGUGUCCGUACAGAGACAAGAAGAACUGAAGCAGGGAGAGGGAGAAAUGUCCAGUUACAAAAUAACAUAUGCUAAUGUUUAACGAACAAAUGAAACACUUAGUAAGCCGUGUUUCAGUGUACCUUCAGUGUGUCCGUGUAGAAGACUUUGACGGUGCAGUCCAACAGAGAGACGGCCAGCAGGCGGUUGUCAGGAGAGAACUUCACGCACAAAAUGUCUUCCUCCAGCUGCAGCGUGCGCGUGUGAUUCAGUGUCAGCCGCCUGUAGCACGUACACAAAAAAUACUCACUGUGAGUAAUGCCUCUCAGUUUCGUGUUCUUCCCAGAUAUAGCCAAUAAAAACAAGCACAAGCAACAGAUUUACAACUGACACAUUUAUAUUUAGUAGGGAGAACAUGCUGACUACCGUUAUUCUACCUUUUGCAAGUAAAAAGCCAAAUAACGUAGAAUAACACUAAAUUGUCUGACAUUUAAAGCUGAACUCAAACAAUUAGACCGUUUUUUCUAUCAUCUCUGUCCCAGGAGACAACAUCUGAAGUACUGUGUUGUAGUUGAGCACUUAAUUCGAGGUGCAUGAAACAUAGGAUGGUCCAAAAUAAACUGUACUGGUAUUUGAACAUUGCAGGGUGUGGUCUUACUUCUGUCCGCCUGCCUCGUCCUUUAUCAGCUCAAACUCCCAGAACUUCACCUUCUUAUCUGCACUUCCCGUGACAAUCCCCCUCUACAGGAAUAACGACACACAGCAAAUGAGAAAGCAGAAAAAGGACGGCUGGUUAGAGUAAAGGUUUGACAUGGUAGGAGAUAUUAUGAAACAGGUGUGUCUGCAGGUGGUGUACCUGGUCUGGGGCGAGGCACAGGGACCACAGAGCUCCAUUGUGAGCAUCCACAGUCUCCAGGAGGCUCCCAGAGGCCAACUCAAAGAUCUGCAGCUUCCCGCUCUGACAGGAAAAACAGCACAUAAGUAUAAGGAUGAUCUGUCUGUCUCCGGGCACGAAGAGGGAGCAGAGGGCGUACUCACAGGCCAUGGACUCCUCACCUGUUCCACACUUUGACGGUGUCCCCAGAGGCAGAGAGGACGGCAAGGUUGUCAGAGCUGAAGGCGAGCGUGCGGACAUCGGUGCGGUGUCCUCCCAGCGUGAGGCGGGAUGUCUUAUUGGCUGUGGGCGUGUUGUCGGAAGUCUUCAGGCUGUAGGUCUCCACCGUGUUGUUCUGCAGCAGCAGCGCCACCUUCAGCUCGCCCCCCGCACAGGACAGGCAGUCCACCCAUCUGAGGGGGGAGGAGGAGACAGGUGAGGAGGUAUAGAAAUUACUACGAUAAGACUAACACGAACCCCUCUCCAGCCUCUAAGCUGCUGAUUCGUUCGGCUUCACUGACCUGAUCUUGGCGGACGCCUUGAUGUUGGUCAGUCUGAGGAUUUCGUCCUUCAGCGUCCUCUCCACCAGCGGCUCCUCUGCCUCCUCCUCUGCCUCCUCCUGAGCUCUGCAGCAGGGGGCAGACCAUAACAAACAUCAGCAAGUAGCUACUGCCCACACACUACAGCAGCAGCACCAUAACAUACAGGAGGGGGUGCAGUGGUAGAUGAUGUCAUUUAAUUAAAGUAUAUGAGAAGCUGUGCAACAUGAAACCCUCAAAAUGAAAAACACUUCUCUUUACUUUGCCGCCUUCUUUUUGGCUCUCUUCGUCUUUUUUGUCAUUUUCUUCUGCACCUCCUCCUCUGUCAGCACAGUGAAGAGCUCCAGGACUGAGUC